AGAAUCAACGCUGGCGGCGUGCCUAACACAUGCAAGUCGAACGAGAAAGUGGAGCAAUCCAUGAGUAAAGUGGCGCACGGGUGAGUAGCACGUGACUAACCUACCCUUGAGUGGGGGAUAACCUAGGGAAACCUGGGCUAAUACCGCAUAAUACCUUCGGGUCAAAGGAGCAAUUCGCUUAAGGAGGGGUCGCGGCCGAUUAGUUAGUUGGCGGGGUAAUGGCCCACCAAGACUGUGAUCGGUA
rnacentral:rRNA from 1 species